rnacentral:rRNA from 1 species
GAUGAACGCUGGCGGCGUGCCUAAUACAUGCCAGUCGAGCGAACAGACGAGGAGCUUGCUCCUCUGACGUUAGCGGCGGACGGGUGAGUAACACGUGGAUAACCUACCUAUAAGACUGGGAUAACUUCGGGAAACCGGAGCUAAUACCGGAUAAUAUAUUGAACCGCAUGGUUCAAUAGUGAAAGACGGUUUUGCUGUCACUUAUAGAUGGAUCCGCGCCGCAUUAGCUAGUUGGUAAGGUAACGGCUUACCAAGGCAACGAUGCGUAGCCGACCUGAGAGGGUGAUCGGCCACACUGGAACUGAGACACGGUCCAGACUCCUACGGGAGGCAGCAGUAGGGAAUCUUCCGCAAUGGGCGAAAGCCUGACGGUGCAACGCCGCGUGAGUGAUGAAGGUCUUCGGAUCGUAAAACUCUGUUAUUAGGGAAGAACAAAUGUGUAAGUAACUAUGCACGUCUUGACGGUACCUAAUCAGAAAGCCACGGCUAACUACGUG